rnacentral:rRNA from 1 species
UGGGGAAUUUUGGACAAUGGGCGAAAGCCUGAUCCAGCAAUGCCGCGUGUGUGAAGAAGGCCUUCGGGUUGUAAAGCACUUUUGUCCGGAAAGAAAUCCUUGGCUCUAAUACAGUCGGGGGAUGACGGUACCGGAAGAAUAAGCACCGGCUAACUACGUGCCAGCAGCCGCGGUAAUACGCAGGGUGCAAGCGUUAAUCGGAAUUACUGGGCGUAAAGCGUGCGUAGGCGGUUUGCUAAGACCGAUGUGAAAUCCCCGGGCUCAACCUGGGAACUGCAUUGGUGACUGGCAGGCUAGAGUAUGGCAGAGGGGGGUAGAAUUCCACGUGUAGCAGUGAAAUGCGUAGAGAUGUGGAGGAAUACCGAUGGCGAAGGCAGCCCCCUGGGGCCAAUACUGACGCUCAUGCACGAAAGCGUGGGGAGCAAACAGGAUUAGAUACCCUGGUAGUCCACGCCCUAAACGAUGUCAACUAGUUGUUGGGGACUUCAUUUCCUUAGUAACGUAGCUAACGCGUGAAGUUGACCGCCUGGGGAGUACGGUCGCAAGAUUAAAACUCAAAGGAAUUGACGGGGUCAUA